UACGUAGGGACCAAGCGUUGUUCGGAUUUACUGGGCGUAAAGGGCGCGUAGGCGGCAAUUCAAGUCAGCUGUGAAAUCUCCGGGCUUAACUCGGAAUGGUCAGGUGAUACUGCUUUGCUAGAGUGCAGAAGGGGCAAUCGGAAUUCUUGGUGUAGCGGUGAAAUGCGUAGAUAUCAAGAGGAACACCUGAGGUGAAGACGGGUUGCUGGGCUGACACUGACGCUGAGGCGCGAAAGCUAGGGGAGCAAACGGG
rnacentral:rRNA from 1 species